rnacentral:misc_RNA from 1 species
GAUGAAGAACGUAGCGAAAUGCGAUACUUGGUGUGAAUUGCAGAAUCCCGUGAACCAUCGAGUCUUUGAACGCAAGUUGCGCCCGAAGCCAUUAGGCCGAGGGCACGCCUGCCUGGGCGUCACACGUCGUUGCCCCCCCAUCUACUCCUUCGGGAUUGCGGGGGGCGGAUGAUGGCCUCCCGUGCGCCUCGUCGCGCGGUUGGCAUAAAUGCCAAGUCCUCGGCGACGCACGCCACGACAAUCGGUGGUUGCGAAACCUCGGUUGCCCGUCGUGUGCGGUCGUCGCGCAUCGAGGGCUCGAAAAAAUUGCCGGGCUCCGGCUCGGCUUUCAACGCGACCCCAGGUCAGGCGGGGUUACCCGCUGAAUUUAAGCAUACAAUAAGCGGAGGA